GCCUGCUUAGCUCAGUGGUAGAGCGCGUCACUUGUACGUCUAAGUGAUAAAUUCACAUGAUCUGCAUGACGAGGUCAGUCGUUCAAACCGGCUAGUUGGCA